rnacentral:rRNA from 1 species
GAUGAACGCUGGCGGCGUGCCUAAUACAUGCAAGUCGAGCGAACGGACGAGAAGCUUGCUUCUCUGAUGUUAUCGGCGGACGGGUGAGUAACACGUGGAUAACCUACCUAUAAGACUGGGAUAACUUCGGGAAACCGGAGCUAAUACCGGAUAAUAUUUUGAACCGCAUGGUUCAAAAGUGAAGACGGUCUUGCUGUCACUUAUAGAUGGAUCCGCGCUGCAUUAGCUAGUUGGUAAGGUAACGGCUUACCAAGGCAACGAUGCAUAGCCGACCUGAGAGGGUGAUCGGCCACACUGGAACUGAGACACGGUCCAGACUCCUACGGGAGGCAGCAGUAGGGAAUCUUCCGCAAUGGGCGAAAGCCUGACGGAGCAACGCCGCGUGAGUGAUGAAGGUCUUCGGAUCGUAAAACUCUGUUAUUAGGGAAGAACAUAUGUGUAAGUAACUGUGCACAUCUUGACGGUACCUAAUCAGAAAGCCACGGCUAACUACGUG